UCCUUCUUAGCUCAGUUGGUUAGAGCAUCUGACUGUUAAUCAGUCCCGAUUGGUCGGGAUGGUUCGAGUCCAAGAGAGGGAGCAA
rnacentral:tRNA from 1 species